CCCUUAGAUGUUCUGGGCCGCACACGCGCUACACUGAAGGAGGCAGCGUGUACUCCUGGAUCGAAAGAUUUGGGUAACCCGCGAAUCUCCUUCGUGCUAGGGAUUGAGGUUUGCAAUUAUCCUUCAUGAACGAGGAAUUCCCAGUAAGUGCAAGUCAUAAGCUUGCGCUGACUACGUCCCUGCCCUUUGUACACACCGCCCGUCGCACCUACCGAUUGAAUGGUCCGGUGAAACCUCCGGAUUGGCGCGUGCCCUCGGGCGCCGCCGAGAAGUUGGUUAAACCUUACCAUUUAGAGGAAGGUGAANUCGUAACA
rnacentral:rRNA from 1 species